rnacentral:rRNA from 1 species
GUAGUCUGCAACCCGACUACAUGAAGCUGGAAUCGCUAGUAAUCGCGAAUCAGAAUGUCGCGGUGAAUACGUUCCCGGGUCUUGUACACACCGCCCGUCACACCAUGGGAGUCGGAAAUGCCCGAAGUCAGUGACCUAACCGAAAGGGAGGAGCUGCCGAAGGUGGAGCCGGUAACUGGGGUGAAGUCGUAACAAGGUAAC